GACGAACGCUGGCGGCGUGCCUAAUACAUGCAAGUAGAACGCAGUUGCGAACGGGUGAGUAACGCGUAGGUAACUGCCUCAUAGCGGGGGAUAACUAUUGGAAACGCUAGCUAAUACCGCAUACUGUGUGAUGGACCUGCGUUGUAUUAGCUAGUUGGUGAGGUAAAGGCUCACCAAGGCGAGGAUACAUAGCCGACCUGAGAGGGUGGUCGGGCACGCUGGAACGGAGACACGGCCCAGAGUCCUACGGGAGUCAGCAGUAGGGAAUCUUCGGCGAGGGACGGGAGUCUAACCGAGCAACGCCGCGUGAGUGAAGAAGGUUUUCGAAUCGGAAAGCUCUGUUGUUAGAGAAGCGGUACCUAACCAGAAAGGGACGGCUAACUACGUGCCAGCAGCCGCGGUAAUUC
rnacentral:rRNA from 1 species